UCAUGCAGAUCUGGGCAGAUGUAGUGCACGUGUGCAUCAAUGGCUCCUGCUGUCACGAUGAACUUUUCGCCUGCAAUUACCUCGGUACAAGAACCCACGACCAGGUUGGGAUCAACGCCAUCCAUGAUGGCCGGAUUGCCCGCCUUGCCAAUAGCCACAAUGUGACCGUUCCUGAUACCGAUAUCCGCCUUGACAAUGCCCCACCAAUCGACGAUGAGUGCGUUGAUGAUAACAAUGUCCAGCACGGCACUGUCGGCACGACCCGAUGCUUGACCCAUGCCAUCACGCAA
rnacentral:sRNA from 1 species